UGACUGAAAGCAUGUUUAAAGGUGAAUUUAAACUCCCCUGUCUUCCCUGUCCCACUCCAACAUCUUUAAGGAAAUGUAUAGGCCUUAAAAUACCACAUCCAAGCACCAGUCCUCCAAAACCACUGUAAACAGACAUAUAACUGCUACCAAAAACACCAAUCAUAAAAACAUCUAACAUUUACUGCACCCACACCAAUGACAGUAACAGCCUGAUUUCUAUAGUAUGCCAGAAUUAGUAAUAACUGGGUCAAAAUGUGAAGCAUUGCUGUGAAGUAACAAAAGAGAAGGUUAUUUUAUGUAAUAUCUGUAUAGAUGUGUAAGUUUAUUUGAUGAGUUAAUGCAAUUUGAAAUGUGUUACUGUAAACAUACUGUACAAUAACAUGUUGAAAAACCUCUACUGCCCUAAAAACAAAAUAAAUGUGUAUUAUUUAUUAUAUCAAUCAGAAUUCAAUAAUAAAAAAAAGAUUCUCAGUUCCAGUGUUGCCAGAGUUACCUUGUUUUGCAGAAUAUAUGCAAAUGUCAUGAUUUAGUAGGGAGGGUCGAUGUUACUUAAACUUUUAAAAGACUUGUGCUAUAAAACAAAACUCUCAGACAGUGUUUGUGUGCAGCUAAAUAUUUUACUCUUUAGUUCACAGUUGCGGUGUGAUGAUGGAGGUGUUACUGCGUUUAGUUCUGCUGUUGAUCAUUUCAUCUGUUAGUGGUCAGUCUUUGACCUCCUCAGAUUCUGUGGUGAAAAAGCCUGGAGACUCAGUGACUCUGUCCUGCACUGUGUCUGGAUUCUCAAUGAGCAGCUACUACAUGCAUUGGAUCCGUCAGAAACCAGGGAAAGCACUGGAGUGGAUUGGAUUUAUAGACGGUGGCUCAAGUGCAUAUUAUGCUCAGUCUCUACAGGGCCAGUUCUCCAUCACCAAAGACACCAGCAAAAACAUGCUGUAUUUAGAGGUGAAAAGCCUGAAGACUGAAGACACAGCUGUUUAUUACUGUGCUAGAGACUCACAGUUACACAAAAGACUGCAGGACUGAACAAAAACUAUUGAUGCAUCACAUCACAAAAGCAGUUCUACUGCAAACAUCCCCAAAAUAUAAAAUAUAACUUGUUUUAGAUGUUAUUCAACACACUUAAGCAGUUCUUUGGUAGCCUUUUAAAAUAAUGGUCCAUCAGGUAACUAUGUAGGAGGAAAUGCAGGACAAAUGAGUAGUAGUACAGAAACACUUCAGCUACUAUUAACUACUCUGGAAACAAGAAUACUGUAAUGAAUCAUUAAGCAAUAACAAAUUUAUGCUUUAGACUGAGUUAAUUUAUUAUUAGAUAUGCAAUAAUUACUGAAUGAGAUUCAUAACUACGACAAAUUAUAAAGAAUUACCAGUUAAUUACUAAC